rnacentral:rRNA from 2 species
GUGAGUAAUGUCUGGGAAACUGCCUGAUGGAGGGGGAUAACUACUGGAAACGGUGGCUAAUACCGCAUAACGUCGCAAGACCAAAGAGGGGGACCUUCGGGCCUCUUGCCAUCAGAUGUGCCCAGAUGGGAUUAGCUUGUUGGUGAGGUAACGGCUCACCAAGGCGACGAUCCCUAGCUGGUCUGAGAGGAUGACCAGCCACACUGGAACUGAGACACGGUCCAGACUCCUACGGGAGGCAGCAGUGGGGAAUAUUGCACAAUGGGCGCAAGCCUGAUGCAGCCAUGCCGCGUGUAUGAAGAAGGCCUUCGGGUUGUAAAGUACUUUCAGCGGGGAGGAAGGUGUUGUGGUUAAUAACCGCAGCAAUUGACGUUACCCGCAGAAGAAGCACCGGCUAACUCCGUGCCAGCAGCCGCGGUAAUACGGAGGGUGCAAGCGUUAAUCGGAAUUACUGGGCGUAAAGCGCACGCAGGCGGUCUGUCAAGUCGGAUGUGAAAUCCCCGGGCUCAACCUGGGAACUGCAUUCGAAACUGGCAGGCUUGAGUCUUGUAGAGGGGGGUAGAAUUCCAGGUGUAGCGGUGAAAUGCGUAGAGAUCUGGAGGAAUACCGGUGGCGAAGGCGGCCCCCUGGACAAAGACUGACGCUCAGGUGCGAAAGCGUGGGGAGCAAACAGGAUUAGAUACCCUGGUAGUCCACGCCGUAAACGAUGUCUACUUGGAGGUUGUGCCCUUGAGGCGUGGCUUCCGGAGCUAACGCGUUAAGUAGACCGCCUGGGGAGUACGGCCGCAAGGUUAAAACUCAAAUGAAUUGACGGGGGCCCGCACAAGCGGUGGAGCAUGUGGUUUAAUUCGAUGCAACGCGAAGAACCUUACCUGGUCUUGACAUCCACAGAAGAAUCCAGAGAUGGAUUUGUGCCUUCGGGAACUGUGAGACAGGUGCUGCAUGGCUGUCGUCAGCUCGUGUUGUGAAAUGUUGGGUUAAGUCCCGCAACGAGCGCAACCCUUAUCCUUUGUUGCCAGCGGUUAGGCCGGGAACUCAAAGGAGACUGCCAGUGAUAAACUGGAGGAAGGUGGGGAUGACGUCAAGUCAUCAUGGCCCUUACGACCAGGGCUACACACGUGCUACAAUGGCGCAUACAAAGAGAAGCGACCUCGCGAGAGCAAGCGGACCUCAUAAAGUGCGUCGUAGUCCGGAUUGGAGUCUGCAACUCGACUCCAUGAAGUCGGAAUCGCUAGUAAUCGUGGAUCAGAAUGCCACGGUGAAUACGUUCCCGGGCCUUGUACACACCGCCCGUCACACCAUGGGAGUGGGUUGCAAAAGAAGUAGGUAGCUUAACCUUCGGGAGGGCGCUUACCACUUUGUGAUUCAUGACUGGGGUGAAGUCGUAACAAGGUAACCGUAGGGGAACCUGCGGUUGGAUCACCUCCUUACCUUAAAGAA